rnacentral:tRNA from 1 species
GGGCGUGUGGCGUAGUCGGUAGCGCGCUCCCUUAGCAUGGGAGAGGUCUCCGGUUCGAUUCCGGACUCGUCC